CAGCAGCAGCCGCGGGAAAACGUAGGGUGCAAGCGUUAAUCGGAAUUACUGGGCGUAAAGCGUGCGCAGGCGGUUAUAUAAGACAGAUGUGAAAUCCCCGGGCUCAACCUGGGAACUGCAUUUGUGACUGUAUAGCUAGAGUACGGCAGAGGGGGAUGGAAUUCCGCGUGUAGCAGUGAAAUGCGUAGAUAUGCGGAGGAACACCGAUGGCGAAGGCAAUCCCCUGGGCCUGUACUGACGCUCAUGCACGAAAGCGUGGGGAGCAAACAGGAUUAGAUACCCGUGUAGUCCCUGUCUCUUAUAC
rnacentral:rRNA from 1 species